GGAGAUGUAGCCCGUAUUAUACCCUGGUCCCAGAGCCUCAAGCGUCUCUCUAUUCAGUGGCCAGCGAGGUUGUUGAGACGAGGCUCUGGCCUCUCGAAGCCGCUAUUUCGACUUCUGCCUCACUUCCAUGUUAACGUUUUGUGAUUAGAAUGUGUCAGUUUAGUCCAGACCUGGGACUCUCUUUGCGCUCGACAUUCUGGACUAGUGUCAGUUUCACGUGGUGCUACCUUGAAUGUAAACAUCUCUUCGCAAGGGAUUCGAAUUCUCGAGUAUGAAAAGCGCAUGAACACCCGAUUUAAAAACGACAACAUUCAUCUGAAAACCCAUGGGAUCAUUACUGUAGAGUUAGUGACAAGAAUAUGACCAUAGGAUGUGGGAAAUACAACAUUUUCUCGGGAAAUGGCUUCAAGGAGGAGAAAAUCGCGACAAGCUCGCAGUUAUCCUCGGAACGAGUCUAUCAAAGAACUCAAGAGGCAAAUAACCAGAACAAUCGCUUGCUUGGGAUAGUUGAUUCCAAUAUCGUUGAGGCGAGAGCAAACGCCGGGAAUAAGCUCGGAAAAUCAGCGAUGUCCCGUAGCCGGUCGGCAGCACAGAGAAGACAUCUCGCCGCUUGAUUAACUCGUAAAGAGACUCCUCUUGAACAAACUUUACAUUUUUAAUACUGGUAAAUCUUGUAACUAAUUCGAAAUUAGCACUAUUAAAAUAACGAUCAAAAUAAUCUAUCGCCCGUCUACUUCGUUCGUUUAGAUGUUUGUUAUUGCGAACAAUAAGAAUUAAAAACCGGUUUUGACCUUUUGAACUUGAAGCGAAAAUACAAUAGAAAACUGUCAGAAUUUCUUGGUUUCCAUAACCACACAUUAAUUGGCCAAUCAGCGACCAAGUUCAGAUUCUGAACCUAGCAGAAGUCGAAAUUGCGCUUCAAGAGGCCAGAGCCUCGUCUCAACCUCGCUGGCCACUAAAUAGAGAGACGCACGAGGCUUUGGAACCAAGGUACCCGUAUUACUGCAUCAACCAAACUUGUUUCGCAGCAAAGUGACGUCAGGCAUACUCAAGCAGUUGCAUUAGCGUUUGUGACAUCAGUGUCACGGGGAAAAAUGAUGGUGGUCAAAAGCAAGAACCAGCUUAUCCUUUGCUGCGACAAAAGUUGGUUCGCCGGUAGUAAAACGCGCAACAUCGCCUUCGAACUUUUUUUUGCAAAUGCUGCCACAAAAAUUGUCAGAAUAUCACGCUCGAGUUUCAUGCCUCUGGCCUUCCCGCUGCACAAAUUUGAUGAGGUUUAUAUUUCCGCUGGAUUUGUGGAUCUGUCAUGGGGUAUUUGGAGGAAUUCCCACGGAUAAUUAGAGCACUCGUGAAGUCGGUAGGACACUUCCUGUUGGGAUUUGGCCCCAAUGGUUGUCGCAACCUGCGCUUUAAUGUGAGAUGCCCUUGAUUGAAAAAAAAUAAAUUAAAAAUUUUUUUGCCGUAGCAUGGUCGACAUGAGUGCGGGAUUCCUUGAAAUUUUCAUUUGCCUUUAGCCUUCAUUUUACUAUGUUUUUUUUCUUUUUUUUUCUGGUCACGGCAUUCGCACACUUUUUAAUAAACUUCCAUUUUUUUAUGA